UACGUAGGGGGGCAAGCGUUGUCCGGAUUUAUUGGGCGUAAAGAGCGUGUAGGCGGCCUGGAAGGUCAGCUGUGAAAACUCGAGGCUCAACCUCGAGACGUCGGUUGAAACCACUUGGCUAGAGUCCGGAAGAGGAGUGUGGAAUUCCCGGUGUAGCGGUGAAAUGCGCAGAUAUCAGGAAGAACACCCGUGGCUAAGGCGGCUCUCUAGUACGGUACUGACGCUGAGACGCGAAAGCGUGGGGAGCGAACAGG
rnacentral:rRNA from 1 species